CAGUCAUGAACACCAAGGUAGUCCUUCUGCUGGGUGCGGUGGCGCUGGCUGCUGCUGACAGUUUUCCUCCAUACUCCUACAGGGGCCCUCAUGAUUCCUCUGAAGGUCUUUGAGUCUUUUGAGUCUUAUGAGUCUAGUGAGGCUCAAUACAACUUCAACUACGCCGUGAAG